CCGUGCUAUUCGGGGAGUCAGCGGCACCCUGUACCCGCAAUCCGCUAUAGCGGGGGAGAAUCCCGCGUCCCGGGGUGCGCUUGUGCGGCAGUCCCCGGCUUCGGACGUUGAGGAAUGGGUCUUGCGCAAUCGUGUCUUGCGAACCAUGUCAGGUGGGGAACCAAGCAGCAUUAAGCAAAUCGCACGAUGUGCCGUCAAGAUCGCCUGUUCUGAGUCCGAUUCCGGGCAAACGCGUAUGAGCGUAACC
rnacentral:SRP_RNA from 1 species